CUAAUACAUGCAUGUUGAACGGGAUGUAGCAAUACAUUCAGUAGCGAAUGGGUGAGUAACACGUACCUAACCUACCUUUAAGACUGGGAUAACUAUUGGAAACAAUAGCUAAUACCGGAUAUAGUUAUUUAUCGCAUGAUGAGUAAUAGAAAGGAGCUUCACAGCUUCACUUAAAAAUGGGGGUGCGGAACAUUAGUUAGUUGGUAGGGUAAUGGCCUACCAAGACGAUGAUGUUUAGCCGGGCCGAGAGGCUGUACGGCCACACUGGGACUGAGAUACGGCCCAGACUCCUACGGGAGGCAGCAGUAAGGAAUUUUCCACAAUGAGCGAAAGCUUGAUGGAGCGACACAGCGUGCAGGAUGAAGUUCUUCGGAAUGUAAACUGCUGUUAUAAGGGAAGAAAAAAUAGAAUAGGAAAUGAUUUUAUCUUGACGGUACCUUAUUAGAAAGCGACGGCAAACUAUGUGCCAGCAGCCGCGGUAAUACAUAGGUCGCAAGCGUUAUCCGGAAUUAUUGGGCGUAAAGCGUCCGUAGGUUUUUUGCUAAGUCUGGAGUUAAAUGCUGAAGCUCAACUUCAGUCCGCUUUGGAUACUGGCAAAAUAGAAUUAUAAAGAGGUUAGCGGAAUUCCUAGUGAAGCGGUGGAAUGCGUAGAUAUUAGGAAGAACACCAAUAGGCGAAGGCAGCUAACUGGUUAUAUAUUGACACUAAGGGACGAAAGCGUGGGGAGCAAACAGGAUUAGAUACCCUGGUAGUCCACGCCGUAAACGAUGAUCAUUAGUUGGUGGAAUAAUUUCACUAACGCAGCUAACGCGUUAAAUGAUCCGCCUGAGUAGUAUGCUCGCAAGAGUGAAACUUAAAGGAAUUGACGGGAACCCGCACAAGCGGUGGAGCAUGUGGUUUAAUUUGAAGAUACGCGUAGAACCUUACCCACUCUUGACAUCUUCUGCAAAGCUAUAGAGAUAUAGUGGAGGUUAACAGAAUGACAGAUGGUGCAUGGUUGUCGUCAGCUCGUGUCGUGAGAUGUUAGGUUAAGUCCUGCAACGAGCGCAACCCUUUUCUUUAGUUACUAAUAUUAAGUUAAGGACUCUAGAGAUACUGCCUGGGUAACCAGGAGGAAGGUGGGGACGACGUCAAAUCAUCAUGCCUCUUACGAGUGGGGCAACACACGUGCUACAAUGGUCGGUACAAAGAGAAGCAAUAUGGUGACAUGGAGCAAAUCUCAAAAAACCGAUCUCAGUUCGGAUUGAAGUCUGCAACUCGACUUCAUGAAGUCGGAAUCGCUAGUAAUCGUAGAUCAGCUACGCUACGGUGAAUACGUUCUCGGGUUUUGUACACACCGCCCGUCACACCAUGGGAGUUGGUAAUGCCCAAAGUCGGUGAGUAACUUCGGAGACCAUUGCCUAAGGCAG
rnacentral:rRNA from 1 species